rnacentral:rRNA from 1 species
UCAAAUGAAUUGACGGGGGCCCGCACAAGCGGUGGAGCAUGUGGUUUAAUUCGAUGCAACGCGAAGAACCUUACCUGGUCUUGACAUCCACGGAAGUUUUCAGAGAUGAGAAUGUGCCUUCGGGAACCGUGAGACAGGUGCUGCAUGGCUGUCGUCAGCUCGUGUUGUGAAAUGUUGGGUUAAGUCCCGCAACGAGCGCAACCCUUAUCCUUUGUUGCCAGCGAUUCGGUCGGGAACUCAAAGGAGACUGCCAGUGAUAAACUGGAGGAAGGUGGGGAUGACGUCAAGUCAUCAUGGCCCUUACGACCAGGGCUACACACGUGCUACAAUGGCGCAUACAAAGAGAAGCGACCUCGCGAGAGCAAGCGGACCUCAUAAAGUGCGUCGUAGUCCGGAUUGGAGUCUGCAACUCGACUCCAUGAAGUCGGAAUCGCUAGUAAUCGUGGAUCAGAAUGCCACGGUGAAUACGUUCCCGGGCCUUGUACACACCGCCCGUCACACCAUGGGAGUGGGUUGCAAAAGAAGUAGGUAGCUUAACCUUCGGGAGGGCGCUUACCACUUUGUGAUUCAUGACUGGGGUGAAGUCGUAACAAGGUAACCGUAGGGGAACCUGCGGUUGGAUCACCUCCUUA